rnacentral:SRP_RNA from 16 species
UUUUUGUGAGUUUUGGCGCGGUGGCUGCGUUGGAUGAGGUCCCCACCAAUGUGGUGGUGCCUCCUGGUGCAGGUUCGGGAGUAGGGAGGAGCAUGAAGCGGAGUUUCUUGGUUG